rnacentral:rRNA from 1 species
AGAGGUGGCAAGCGUUGUUCGGAAUUACUGGGCGUAAAGGGCGCGUAGGCGGUUCGUCAAGUCCUGUGUGAAAUCCCCCGGCUCAACUGGGGAACUGCACAGGAAACUAGCGGGCUUGAGUUCGGGAGAGGGAAGCGGAAUUCCGGGUGUAGCGGUGAAAUGCGUAGAUAUCCGGAGGAACACCGGUGGCGAAGGCGGCUUCCUGGACCGACACUGACGCUGAGGCGCGAAAGCUAGGGGAGCAAACGGGAUUAGAUACCCCGGUAGUCCUAGCUGUAAACGAUGAGUGCUGGGUGUAGGGGGUAUUAACCCCCCCUGUGCCGAAGCUAACGCAUUAAGCACUCCGCCUGGGGAGUACGGUCGCAAGGCUG